rnacentral:sRNA from 1 species
GCUGGGCACAGUGGCACAUGCCUGUAAUCCCAGCAGCUUGGGAGGCUGAGACAGGAGAGUUGUGAGUUCACAGCCAGGCUCAGUGAGGACCUAGGCAACUCAGAGAGACCCUGUCUCUA